AACUUUAACCAUGUUUAAAAUCUUCGGAUUAAAAACAUAACUAUUAUUAUGAUUACUUUUUUGACUUAUUAAAUUUUGUUUAUCACAAUAUUAAGGAUAAUAUUCACUAAAAUUGACAAAGACAAAAGAAAAUCGUAAGCAAAGAGUAAUAUGGUCGCCAAGUUCUAUAAACACUGCGGGUGACAAAAAUGACGCCAUUAACAGCAAAAAAUAAACAGCAAUGAAUAAAAAAGAGGGUUGCAAUUUUUGUUUCCUACCAUCUCCAUCAUAAAAUCUCUAUCUAAUAUUUUACUAUUCGUUGACAGGCACACAGCUCCUUAAUGAUUCAAGUCUUCAACUAGAAAAAAUCCGUCGAAAUUUACAUAAUUGACGUGAUAUAAUAUUAAAGAAUAUAAUAUUUUAUCGUGAAUAGUAUUACGUUUACAAUAUUGGAACAAAAAAAAAU